rnacentral:lncRNA from 1 species
GCAGAAAUUCUGAGCCUGUUCUAAUAGGAGCCUGCUCUAACAGACACCUGCUGCCCAGAGCUCUUUAUCACGGGAGCAGGCUGCUUCUAGGAUGCCUUCCUGGAUCUUGGACUGGAGAAAAGCCCCCAUGCUCUCUCCUCAGAGUCCACUUUUCCUCCAGAGUGCUUUCUUUUCUUCUGUCUUAGGUAUCCCAGUCAGAAGAGUAGAAGACCAUUGGCUCACACUGUCACCUUCAGUUUUGCCUUUGAACAAGCUGUAGACAUGAUGGCUGAAACUUCAAUGCUGAGCAAUUUGAAGAAGAGGCAACCUUGAAGAUGAAAGCCACUUACUUACUGAUGGUGGCAGUACAGAAAAAGCAGAUGCCUGGGCUCCUGAAUGCUGUUCACCCCUAUGCCAUCCCUGCACCCUCUUUAGCUGCAUGAGAGGGAAAAUACCUGAUUUGAUGUAUUUUCACCAUGGUUCUUAUUAGAUGGUGUGGUGAGGCUCUCUAUUCUGCACUGAAUACUCUCUACAAGUCAUACAAUGAGAAAUAUGGUCAUCUGAGU